CGGUUGCCAUAGAAACCCUAAUCUGUUUGCUAUAAAUUCCCCCAGUUUUUUUUUAUUACACAGAAUAUUCUUAUUUCUUAUAAUUGACUUUAACGUCUUUAUGAAAUAUAUAAUGUAAAACGCUGUUUUAAGACCACUAGUUUACAUAUAUAUACAUAUAUAUAUAUAUAUAUUUUUUUACAAGUCUCUGUUGAAUCUGUUGUUUUUAAUCGUGUAGCUAAGCAAAUAGUCGUUGCUAGCGCAGCUAGCUCGUUAGCAUGUCGAGAUUAAAUAAUUUUACCUCCUAAAAUAUAUGCGUUUUUUGUCCGGGGGAAAACAUGCGUGAAAUGUACAUUGGGUUUAAGGAAAAAAAUGUUAUCCGUGAUAUUUCGUGAUACACUGGCUCUCUGUUAGCCACACAGUCAGCUGCUCACUGUGUCCACGGACCGACUCAGACAUAAACAUACGUGAAUUCUAGUGAUAUUUCAUCUUCUCCUUUGAACGAGGUUUGCGAAUAAGUGCAAUAUGGACACGAAUGUUCAGAAGAGGCGAGAAAACAAGAAGUCUUUACGGGUUAAGGUCAUUAGUUUGGGAAAUGCAGAGGUGGGGAAGAGCUGUAUUAUUAAACGGUACUGUGAGAAGAGGUUUGUGCCCAAGUAUCUAGCCACUAUUGGGAUAGAUUAUGGUGUAACCAAGGUUCAGGUUCGAGACAGGGAGAUAAAAGUAAACAUUUUUGAUAUGGCUGGACAUCCUUUCUUUUAUGAGGUCCGCAAUGAGUUUUAUAAGGACUCUCAGGGGGUGAUUCUGGUCUAUGAUGUUGGACUGAGGGAGAGUUUUGACGCUCUGGACAGCUGGCUCACAGAGAUGAAGCAGGAAAUGGGCUCACAGGCCAACAUGGAGAACAUCAUCUUCGUCGUGUGUGCCAACAAGGUUGACCUGACGAAAAGACGAGUUGUGGAUGAGAGUGAGGGGAAACUUUGGGCCGAGAGCAGAGGAUUUCACUACUUUGAAACUUCUGCUCAGAGUGGUGAAGGCAUCAAUGAAAUGUUUCAGUCCUUUUUCUCAUCCAUAACUGACAUGUGUGAAAAUGGAGGGAAGAGACCCACUCCAGAGGUCAAUGUAGGUUUUACUAAAGAACAGGCCGACACCAUCAGACGCAUCCGUAACAGCAAAGACAGCUGGGAUAUGCUGGGGGUUAAACCUGGGGCCACAAGGGAGGAAGUUAACAAGGCAUACAGGAAGUUGGCUGUACUGUUGCACCCGGACAAGUGUGUGGCCCCAGGCAGUGAGGAUGCCUUUAAAGCAGUGGUUAAUGCUCGCACAUCGCUGCUCAAGAAUAUCAAGUAGGAGUGUAUGCCCACACACAAGUGCAUCUCACAUGGUUUCCAUUACAAACACAAUCUCCACAUCGUGUCUGAGAUAUGCCAUAAACAGAUUGUUUUCAUCUUCAUUGUGCCAUCUAAAUCUUCUUCUUCUUCUUUUUUUUUUAAAUGAACAUUCUUUGUGUUUGUUUUGAUUGGUUGUUGUGGUGUUUUGUUUGUUGAAUUUGUAUUAAUUAUAUAUUUAUUAAUUUUUUUGAUUAUUAAAUGUGCAUUAAAACAAUUGUCAGGGCAGUUUAAAUAUGCUAUCAGAAUGUCUGAAGUACAAAUAUCAUUGUGGCACCACAAAAGUGUUUUCACCCUCAAGAUUUCAUCAAAAACCAACAAAUGACUCCUUAAGGCCGAAACUUAACUAUGUUCCCUUGUUUUAAGUUGAUCAGCUUCACAUUGCCAUUAGUUGGAGUUGGAGAGUUACCUCGCAUUUGCAGAGUUCCCUUCUCAGUGAGGAUUACGCUUAAGACACACGGAGAAGCCUCUGGACUCCAACAAAGACUUAGUAACAGCAGAGUUUGACAUACAGCUACGACACUGUUUAUACUAUGACACACAUCUGUCCUGUUUAUAAUGUAAAAUACAUGUUGAUGUUAAAAGUUGUAGUAGGGAAACAACAAUAAUGCUGUAAGAUUUCAGCCCAAAUCAUGUGCAUGUCACAUUAGCUUGGAGCAUGAGGAUGAAAUUGGUGGAUCCUUCCUUUCCCAGUAUGUCCUGUGUCUGUUGUGCUUCUUUACUCCCAUAGAUGUACAGGGACGCUAUGACCUACAUGAUUCCCAGUUCUUCACCUUAGUUCACUCCAAAGAGGAGGAAAAGCAUGAGCAGAAAAUGUAACGUGUCCAAUACAUUUACAUCAGUGCAAUAUAAUUUAUUUAAAAUCUAUUUAUUUAUUUACAAAAAUGUACUGUACAUUUUUGUUACAAAUAAAUGAAUAAAAUGUA